CUCUCUGUAAAAAAAUCAAUAAAAUAUAUUUUUUUUUAAAAAGGGAAGGGGAUGGGAGAGGCAUUUCUAGUUAACUAAGAUAUAGCCAAUUCCAUUUUUUUUCUAAACAAACCAACCAAAAAAAUAGAAAUGAAUUUGCAAAGCCCUAUGUUUAUUAUUUGGUUUAUACUCACUUUGCUUUUGUCUAAGAGCAUGUUUUUCAUGACUGUUUAUGGAAGCAAACAAAAUGUUUGUUGAGUUUUUAAAAUUCAAAAUUGGUAAUUAACUUUUUGAAGAUUUAAUAAUCAUGGACCUUGAUCCUUCUCAAAUGGGACCAAGGCGUUUACAUAUGCCUGGGGAAUGUGUGGCUAAUAUACCAAGGAGACACGGAAGUCAUGAGGGAAAAUGGCAUAGUCAUCUAGGGAAAUAUUUUUUCCUAAUGUUUUUCCAAUAGUUUGAAGGAGAAAUAACAUUACUUCUUUAUUAACACAAAUGCAUUAUAAGGGAGAAGAAGGCAAAUAAUGGAGGAGAUUUUAAGAUAAAAUAAGACACAAAACGUUGUGUUUUCCAGAUGCUUUAAGUUAGCCUCCAACGCUCUUGGGGUAAUGUAUUUGUUUUCCUCUCUUAUCAGGGUACUUUGAUGGAAAAGUUGUGCAAAACUGAUUCAUAGCCAGCUAUCCUGCCACCAAAUAUAAAAGACUAUAUAACCAGACUGUGAGGGCAAUGUUUGUCUUUAAAAGAUUUUAUUUUAAAAUAUUAUAGAAGACUGCUUAAAAUGUCAUUUGAUUUACCCUAUUCCUGCCAGGUUACCUGCCUAAAACACAUUGCCAUCUUCCUUCCGAUCUAAGUUACGUGAACCCAGCUCAGGAUUCACUGACCCAAGAAGCUCUCCCAAAUGCCCAAAUAACUCCAGUCCAAAGUGAUGUCUCUUUUUGGAACUCACAGAACUCCCUGUCUAUUCCAAUUUUUAAGUAAACGAUUUUCUUUUAAGGUAAUCUGUGCUUCUUAUUGAAAACAUGGAAAAUGCAAGAAAAAAACAUAAAGAAUAUAAAAAUUACCUAUAAUAGCCUCCACCCACUGAUUAGUAUUUUUUAAGCUUUAUAUUUUACAUUUACAGGAUCUCACCUUGAAGUUAUGUUCACUGUAUAAUAUUGAAUCUGUGUUUGUUUCCCUCGCCAAAUGACAAUCAUUUCCUCCUCAUUAAAAACUGUAUAUAAACAUCCCAUUGUAUUUGACCUUUCAUUUGUUGUUUUUUGCCUAUUAACUCUAUGGCAUUCAUUUACUUGAUCAUUCGUUCAUUCUUUAAGCAAUGAUUAGUCACUUAUAAAAUACCAUAAGUUGUGCUUAUGUGCUUUCUUUCCCAUGCUAAAUUAACUCGAGUAAAGACCACUUUUUAACGUUCCCAAAAUUUCUGAGUAUAGACUUAAUCAAAUGAGGAGUAUUUGGGAAAUAUUUGAGAAUGAAUUUUCAAAAUUUAAUUUUAUUCUCAACUUUUUGAACACAUUCUUUUACAUCAAGGUGAAUCUCAAAUUUCGUGCAUCGAUGGUUGGCCACCUUUUAAUAAAAAGCCAUGGUUCAGAAACGAAAAGACUGAAGGAAAGAAUUCGUGUGUUAUAAUGGACCUGUGGGUUUUCUGGAAUAAGACUCUCUAUUCAUUUGCUCACCUCUGAGAACACUUUUGACAAAAGAAGCAACGAGGAAAGGUCAGUUAAUAAUUAACCUCUCUUAUCUACGUAGUUUAUGCCAUACUGUCUUGUGCCCUACAUAGCUACCACAACAGAGGACAAAAAAACCUCCACAUUAUUCUGAACUUAUAACUUAUGUGUAAUGCUAGCACUGAUGAUCAACAUAAACAUUCUGGGUGGUUCAGUUGUCGACCACGCUGCCAUCCACAUGAAAAUUCCUGUUCCUUCAGUGUCCUUCCUUGACAAAAACUAUAAAGCAGGAAAAUGCUCGUCGGAAAGGAGCCGAUUCAUUUCAACAGAAUAAGAUCUGAGACUCAAAAUCCUUGAAGUGACUUCACAGAGCUGCCGACAUGUACACAUGAAGACGCUGGAGCUCUCCCAGUUCCUAAGGAAGCUCCCUCCUCGGAGUGUGGAUGCUGUCACUCCGUCUUCCUUCUUUUGUGCUGAAAUGAACACACUGUCUAGUCCGGGGAAAGACUGCACUUAGGACAUAUAACUAGUCUCAGUUACUCAAAGAAAGAGUUGCCUAAGAUUUCUGUUUACAAGUUUGUCGUUUUCCUUAUUUUCAAAUGUGUGUAAUAUGGAAUUGGGCUCAUUAAGGAGAAUUUGGAAAAUGCAAGAGUAAGAUAGGAACUGCGGGGGCUGGGCCAGUUGCCGCCAAAAGCUCUUUCUAGAGCUAGUAUUCUAACUCUGUUUUGUUUGCCUUUUUGUACACUUGUGAGAUGGACGUUCAUUUAAGACUGUGAAGCUUAAAUGAUCUACACCAUUAUAAUGAGAAAGGAAUAAAAGGUUUUAUCUUUGCAAAUCUA